UACUCGUAUGUGAACUUUUUCCAUACAUUUCUUUAGAAGUCCAUAAGUUUUUUAGUACCUUCAUCAACAUGACAAUAUUUUGUCACAUUUUUCGUUAUUAUGGUUGAUCUUAUAAUUAUUCCAAAUAAGGGAUAGUGAUUUUUGUUCAGCACCUACUGUAAGGGGGAAGCUUUGCUUUUGAAGAGUUCUCCUGUUUAAUGCUGUAGAAAGAUAUACGAAUAAGUUUUACAUAUUACAGAUGAAACAGCCUUUCAACAACUCUAGCCAUUGAGAAACUGACUAGUGUUAUAAAUUCUGGCUUUGAGCAAAGACAAUUUAUGUGUUCACAAUUUUUAGACCUUACCAAAGCUUUUGACUGUGUGUCCUAUGAAACUCUUACAAAUAAAUUGCAUUACUAUGGCUUUACAAUUCAGAGUACCGAUUUAAUAACAUCAUAUCUUACCAAUAGGCAACAAUAUGUAACCCAA